rnacentral:ncRNA from 1 species
UAAAAGUUUUAUUUUAGCUUAAAAUAUUAUUUAAUUUUUUUUUUAUAUGUAAAUUUUUGUGUGAAUAUAAUUUUAUUUUAAAAAUAAAAUUAAAUAAAUUAAUCGCAGUAUUUAAUUUUAAUUAUUUAAGAAAUUAAGAAUUAGAAAUAAAUUUUAUAAUAAACAAAUUUUGUGCCAGCAGUUGCGGUUAUACAAAAUAUUAAAAUAAUAUUUUUUAGUAAAUAAUUAAUUGAUUUAUAUAAUAAAAUUAAAAUAUUACUUUUAAGGUGAAAUUUUAAGUUAUAAAUAUUUUAUAUAUUAAAUUAUGAAGUUAUUAAAUUUAGAUUUAAACUAGGAUUAGAUACCCUAUUAUUCUAAAUGUAAAUAAAAUAUACUAAGGUAUUAAUAGAUAUAAUCUUUAAACUUAAAAAAUUUGGCGGUAUUUUAGUCUUUUUAGAGGAAUCUGUUCUGUAAUCGAUAAUCCACGAUUUUAUUUACUUAAUUUAAUUAAUUUAUAUAUCGUCGUUAUAAGAAAAUUUUAUAAGAAUUUAUAAUUUUCAAUAAUUUUAUAAAAAUAUAUAUCAGAUCAAGGUAUAGUUUAUAAUUAAGAAGAAAUGGAUUACAAUAAAAAUAUUUAUAUGGAUAAUUUAUUUUAAAUAAGUUUGAAAGUGGAUUUAUAAGUAAUUAAAUUAAAUUAAAUUUAAUGAUUAUAGCUCUAAAAUAUGCACAUAUCGCCCGUCGCUUUCAUUAUAAAAUGAAAUAAGUCGUAACAAAGUAGAUGUACUGGAAAGUGUAUCUAGAAUGA